rnacentral:rRNA from 1 species
UACGUAGGGGGCAAGCGUUGUCCGGAAUCAUUGGGCGUAAAGCGCGCGUAGGCGGCCCUGUAAGUCCGUUGUGAAAGUCGAAGGCUCAACCUUCGAAAGCCGAUGGAUACUGCAGGGCUAGAGUCCGGAAGAGGCGAGUGGAAUUCCUGGUGUAACGGUGAAAUGCGCAGAUAUCAGGAGGAACACCGAUGGCGAAGGCAGGUCUCUGGGCAUUAACUGACGCUGAGGAGCGAAAGCAUGGGGAGCGAACAGG